CCGACGGGAGCUUGCUCCCUUAGGUCAGCGGCGGACGGGUGAGUAACACGUGGGUAACCUGCCUGUAAGACUGGGAUAACUCCGGGAAACCGGGGCUAAUACCGGAUGCUUGAUUGAACCGCAUGGUUCAAUCAUAAAAGGUGGCUUUUAGCUACCACUUGCAGAUGGACCCGCGGCGCAUUAGCUAGUUGGUGAGGUAACGGCUCACCAAGGCGACGAUGCGUAGCCGACCUGAGAGGGUGAUCGGCCACACUGGGACUGAAACACGGCCCAGACUCCUACGGGAGGCAGCAGUAGGGAAUCUUCCGCAAUGGACGAAAGUCUGACGGAGCAACGCCGCGUGAGUGAUGAAGGUUUUCGGAUCGUAAAACUCUGUUGUUAGGGAAGAACAAGUACCGUUCGAAUAGGGCGGCACCUUGACGGUACCUAACCAGAAAGCCACGGCUAACUACGUGCCAGCAGCCGCGGUAAUACGUAGGUGGCAAGCGUUGUCCGGAAUUAUUGGGCGUAAAGCGCGCGCAGGCGGUUUCUUAAGUCUGAUGUGAAAGCCCCCGGCUCAACCGGGGAGGGUCAUUGGAAACUGGGGAACUUGAGUGCAGAAGAGGAGAGUGGAAUUCCACGUGUAGCGGUGAAAUGCGUAGAGAUGUGGAGGAACACCAGUGGCGAAGGCGACUCUCUGGUCUGUAACUGACGCUGAGGCGCGAAAGCGUGGGGAGCGAACAGGAUUAGAUACCCUGGUAGUCCACGCCGUAAACGAUGAGUGCUAAGUGUUAGAGGGUUUCCGCCCUUUAGUGCUGCAGCAAACGCAUUAAGCACUCCGCCUGGGGAGUACGGUCGCAAGACUGAAACUCAAAGGAAUUGACGGGGGCCCGCACAAGCGGUGGAGCAUGUGGUUUAAUUCGAAGCAACGCGAAGAACCUUACCAGGUCUUGACAUCCUCUGACAACCCUAGAGAUAGGGCUUCCCCUUCGGGGGCAGAGUGACAGGUGGUGCAUGGUUGUCGUCAGCUCGUGUCGUGAGAUGUUGGGUUAAGUCCCGCAACGAGCGCAACCCUUGAUCUUAGUUGCCAGCAUUCAGUUGGGCACUCUAAGGUGACUGCCGGUGACAAACCGGAGGAAGGUGGGGAUGACGUCAAAUCAUCAUGCCCCUUAUGACCUGGGCUACACACGUGCUACAAUGGGCAGAACAAAGGGCAGCGAAGCCGCGAGGCUAAGCCAAUCCCACAAAUCUGUUCUCAGUUCGGAUCGCAGUCUGCAACUCGACUGCGUGAAGCUGGAAUCGCUAGUAAUCGCGGAUCAGCAUGCCGCGGUGAAUACGUUCCCGGGCCUUGUACACACCGCCCGUCACACCACGAGAGUUUGUAACACCCG
rnacentral:rRNA from 1 species